rnacentral:rRNA from 1 species
GACGAACGCUGGCGGCGUGCUUAACACAUGCGAGUCGAACGGAAAGGCCCUGCUUUUGUGGGGUGCUCGAGUGGCGAACGGGUGAGUAACACGUGAGUAACCUGCCCUUGACUUUGGGAUAACUUCAGGAAACUGGGGCUAAUACCGGAUAGGAGCUCCUGCUGCAUGGUGGGGGUUGGAAAGUUUCGGCGGUUGGGGAUGGACUCGCGGCUUAUCAGCUUGUUGGUGGGGUAGUGGCUUACCAAGGCUUUGACGGGUAGCCGGCCUGAGAGGGUGACCGGCCACAUUGGGACUGAGAUACGGCCCAGACUCCUACGGGAGGCAGCAGUGGGGAAUAGUGCACAAUGGGCGGAAGCCUGAUGCAGCAACGCCGCGUGCGGGAUGACGGCCUUCGGGUUGUAAACCGCUUUCGCCUGUGACGAAGCGUGAGUGACGGUAAUGGGUAAAGAAGCACCGGCUAACUACGUG